GCGGGGAUAGCUCAGUUGGGAGAGCGUCAGACUGAAGCCACACUUCAAUCUUGUCAUCUGAAGGUCGUGCGUUCGAUCCGCACUCACCGCA